rnacentral:lncRNA from 1 species
UAGCUGGCUGUGCUCAUGUGAAAUCAUUUUGGCACUCCAUGAUACCUAUUUUUUGACUUUAUUAGGUGUAUCUAUAUUCGUCAGGUAUGAUCCAUUCGUCCCAGCCAAAAAAAAAAAAAAAAAAAAAAAAAAAAAAAAGAAAACCAGAAUAGCUAAAUGUGAGGGCACCCCACGCACGAUAACGCAGAUAAAAUUGUGAGAUUAUAGAAGUUAAAUUUUUAAUAAUUUG